UCGAAUGCAACCUCUAAUGAGGCUAUCGCUACACGUGUAACCCACUUUAGUCACUCUGUGCAAGAGGUAUGAGAAGUGUCUGACUUAUACUUAAUUAUGGUCAUUUCAAAGUUGACAGACAAACACGCACUGUAUGAUACUGUGCAAUAGCUGUUAUGUUGGAUGAGAAUGAAGGUCAGCAUAUGAUAGUUCCUCCGGUUCAGCCCGUCAGCCCAUUUUGAUCUCCCCAACACUUUUCCAACCGUUAUUAUUUUUUAAUAUCAUGUGAUUUCUUUUUCAUUCCCCGCUAAAUCUGUGAUUUCCUGCUAAAUUUAGGGCUCACAGUACAUUAGACCUAUUUGAAAAGACUAGAAUGUCUUGUCAUAUCAUGUGCUGAUGUAAUCGUAAAUGCAGAGCAUACAGUACUCCUCAUUUAGUUAAGACUUCAAUUGUUAACCUGGUCUGAGGCUCAAGUCCUUGACCAUUUGCACACCAAUCAAGCACUCUGCCAAUUCAGUUGUAACCAGUGGGUGGUCCAGCAGCUUUGGUCAGCCAAUCUUUGGCGGAAGACUCACUAAAUCAAGUUUGCAUGCUCAAAAGAUCUCAUCUAUCAGUGUAUUUUGUGCCUUCUCAAGCUUUGGUCUAUCAAACAUACACAACAAUUUCAACCGAUCAGCAUUAUGAAGUGAGCAAGCUUGUGCCACAAUGCAGGGGUUUCGCUAAUGUUUUCAGCAGGAGGGCAUCCAGUUUUCACAGAUUCUCCUUUUCAGAUUUCUUCGAGGGAGACGGUUCAAAAGGUGUGUACUAAUUCGUCACGCGGUGACUCUCCAUCCACUUCACUGCCCUGCAACCAUUUCAAGACAAAACAAUAGGUCGCUCAGAGCGAAGAGUCAGCUUUUGGUGGCAGUAUUUCUCUA
rnacentral:misc_RNA from 1 species